GAUGAACGCUAGCGGCAGGCCUAACACAUGCAAGUCGAGGGAGGAGCUUUCGGGCUUCGACCGGCGUACGGGUGCGUAACGCGUAUACAAUCUGCCUUUCACAUAGGGAUAGCCCGAAGAAAUUUGGAUUAAUACCUAAUGGUAUAUAGGAGUGGCAUCACAUUUAUAUUAAAGCUGAGGCGGUGAAAGAUGAGUAUGCGUUCUAUUAGCUAGUUGGAGAGGUAACGGCUCCCCAAGGCGACGAUAGAUAGGGGUUCUGAGAGGGAUAUCCCCCACACUGGUACUGAGAGACGGACCAGACACCUACGGGAGGCAGAAGUGAGGAAUAUUGGACAAUGGUCGGAAGACUGAUCCAGCCAUGCCGCGUGCAGGAAGACGGCCUUAUGGGUUGUAAACUGAUUUUGCAGGGGAAGAAUAAGGACUACGAGUAGUUUGAUGAAGGCACUCUGCGAAUAAGCAUCGGCUAACUCCGUG
rnacentral:rRNA from 1 species